rnacentral:rRNA from 1 species
GGUUUGAUUAUGGCCUGAUUGAACGCUGGCGGGAUUGCUUACACAUGCAAGUCGAACGGCAGCACGGACUUCGGUCUGGUGGCGAGUGGAAUGGUGAGUAAUGUAUCGGAACGUGCCUAGUAGCGGGGGAUAACUACGCGAAAGCAGUAGCUGAAGAUUACAUACCGCCCUUCGGGGAAAGUGGGGACUGGGGCCUCGCACUAUUAGAGCGGCCGAUAUCGGAUUAGCUAGUUGGUGGGGUAACGGCUCACCAAGGCGACGAUCCGUAGCUGGUUUGAGAGGAUCGACCAGCCACACUGGGACUGAGACACGGCCCAGACUCCUACGGGAGGCAGCAGUGGGGAAUUUGGACAAUGGGGGAAAUCCCGGAUCCAGCCAUCCCGCGUGUGCGAUGAAGGCCUUCGGUUGUAAAGCACUUUUGGCAGGGAAGAAACGUGGCACGGGAUAAUACCCCGUGCAACUGACGGCACUCCGGCAGAAUAAGCACCGGCUAACUACGUGCCAGCAGCCGCGGUAAUAUGCAGGCAAGCGUUAAUCGGAAUUACUGGGCGUAAAGCGUGCGCAGGCGGUUCGGCGGAAAGAUGUGAAAUCCCAGAGCUUAACUUUGGAACUGCAUUUUUAACUACCGAGCUAGGAGUGUGCCGAGAGGUGGAAUUCCGCGUGUAUGGUGAAAUGCGUAGAUAUGCGGAGGAACACCGAUGGCGAAGCUGCAGCCUCCUGGGAUAACAUCGACGUGCUCAUGCACGAAAGCGUGGGGAGUAAACAGGAUUAGAUACCCUUGGCAGCUCCACGCUCUAAACGAUGUCAAUCUGCUGUUGGGGCCUUCGGCCUCGGUAGCGCAGCUAACGCGUGAAGUUGACCGCCUGGGAGCAUGAAUGCAAGAUGAAACCCAGCGAAUGACGGGGACCCGCACAAGCGGUGGAUGAUGUGGAUUAAUUGAUGCAACGCGAAAAACCUUACCUACCUUACAGAUGUCUGGAAUCCCGAAGAAGAUUUGGAGUAGCUCGCAAGAGAACCGGAACACAGGUGCUGCAUGGCUGUCGUCAGCUCAAAUGUGAGAUGUUGGGUUAUGUCCCGCAACGAUGCAACCCUUGUCAUUAGUUGCUGAAAGGGCACUUAAUGAGACUGCCGGUGACAAACUGGAGGAAGGUGGAUGACGUCAAGUCCUCAUGGCUCCUUAUGGGUAGGGCUUCACACGUCAUACAAUGGUCGGGACAGAGGGUCGCCAACCCAGGGAGCCAAUCCCAGAAACUGAUCGUAGUCCGAUCAGUAGUCUGCAACUCGACUGCGUGAAGUCGGAAUCGCUAGUAAUCGCGGAUCAGCAUGUCGCGGUGGAAUACGUUCCCGGGUCUUGUACACACCGCCCGUCACACCAUGGGAGUGGGUUUUACCAGAAGUAGUUGCAGCCUAACCGGGGCAAGGGAGGGCGAUUACCACGGUAGGAUUCAUGACUGGGGUGAAGUCGUAACAAGGUAG